rnacentral:lncRNA from 1 species
AUGAUGCAGACUCUUUAAAAUAAGAUCGAGUUGAUAGAAAAUGAAUCGAGAUUAGUCAUAACAAUUUCGCUCAGGCACAUAAAAGAUAUCAAGUGAAUCAUGACAUGUGUAUUGACUAAAAUGGCAUGCCCUAAUAUGACACAUGCAGAAAUAAAAUUCAGAACCUCUUAGAAUGGGAAGGGCUUAGAACUAGCUCUUAUACUGUGCUACCCAAAAGAUUGUUAAUAGAAAAUGGAAUAGGGUUAGGCCCUGUUUGGCCUAACUAUUUUACAGUGAUUUUCGGCUGAAAAUCACUUUUAGGCCCAAUAGAGUGUUUGGUAAAGAUAUCUCAAAAAUCUGAUUCUGUUUUCUAAAAACUGAAAACUUAUUCUUCAACCCCCAAAAGCAGAAGCUGAAAAAACCUGCUUCUCAAAACUGAUUCCCGCACAAGUUGUUUCCCCACUUAAAAUUUUUUACUAAAAUACCAAAAUUACUCUUAAACAAACAAUACAAUUCUAUCAUACCCUUUUAUAAUUAAUAAUACCUCUCCCAUUACUCACAAUUCUAUUAUACUCUUUUAUAAAAAUUUUACAAAUUUGAAAUUAAAAUUUUAAAUAUUCAAAAUUUAAAUUUUAAAAUUUUAAAAUUUUAAAAUAUAAAAUUUAAUAUUUAAAAUUUAAAAUUUAAAUUUUAAAAUAUAAAAUAUAAAAUUUAAAAUUUAAAAUUUAAAAUUUAAAUUUUAAAAUAUAAAAUUUAAUAUNN